CCCUAGCCCCGAUAGCAGCGGUUACCCCACAGCAUGGUUUGGGUUUAGUGUUGGAGCGAGGAGUAAGAGCGGAUAGCGGGAAACAGC
rnacentral:misc_RNA from 1 species